rnacentral:lncRNA from 1 species
GCAUGGGUCACAAAGCCGAGCCCCUGGCCACUGAGGCCUCCCCGUUCGCCUCCCAGAGGCCGCCACUUUCUUCAGGGCUAUCAGAUGAAGGCAGCAACGAAAACACCACCACAAGACCAACUUCAGGCUGGAGCUGAUGAUGCCACACAGAAAAUAGACUCUACUUAGAAAUGAAACUCAACUAAAGGUAAAAGUUGUCAGGAACAUCUCCAAGAAAGCCAGAGUCAGCCUCUAAACUUUGCAUCAAGAACGCAAUGGCUUCCCUGAGGGCCCAGGGACGCGUGGCAGCUGUGAGGCAGCCCCUUCUCUGCUGUCGAGGAACUGGACACUUCUCCUGUCCCUUCCCACAAGGGGCUUCCUGGAGCUCCUGCAACCCCAGGCAUUAGUUCCGGUGCAGUUCUAGGAUCAGAUCAAUUCACUCGACAACAAGAGAAACAAAUGGAGAUUCCUACACAAAGACUUUCAAGCACAAAGAAAUCCUGCUGCCUGUAAAGCGGAGCUGCCUCAGCCCUUGAUGAACGACAGAAAAUCUCACAUUCCAGGAAUUCAGAUGAAGUGAAGUGCUCUCAUGGGGACCAGGCAUGGUUAUGCCAGUCCACUGCCCUGCAAGCCUCAAGGGAAGCCAACUGCCCUUCAGCAAGUCACACCUGCCUUGGUGGAGGCCUUGAUUGGAAGUGCCACACGCUACAUGUCCAGUCCUGAGCGGGAGAAUCGGUGUAGGGACGUUCUGGGGAUGCCAGCUGUGGCCAGAUCAGGUCCAACUACAGAAGAAUAAUGAAGACUCCACCUGAGGGCUGGAAAAACAAAACCUCAAGUGUGAGGCAGCCAACCUGUUACCUCGAGGGACUGUUCCGCAGCACAGCGGGGCCAUGGGAACAGCAGCAGACACCCCGACCUCCUCGCUACCUGUAUCAACUAUGGCCUGAGUAUGAUAGACUUAUCCAUGGUUUAAACAGAAUAUAUUGUUUUCAACUUUGAAAAUAAGAAUAUGGAAAUCCAGAUGCAGAAAUGUGAGAAGAAAAGAGAGUAAACAGAGUGGAAGGUCAGGUGACCUUGCCUGUCAUGAAUAUGAAGGUCAAGGUGUGUGAAUUGUGAAAUUUCCAAGAGAACCUCACUGAAGCAAAGAAUGAAGAAAGAAUUGCAUUUGGCCCUGGGAGGGUGCAGGGGUGAAUGGUGCAGGAGCUAAAUCUUUAUCAUACCCAGAAAUCAACAGCCACUAUUUGAAAUCAUCUAAAUUCGUGCUGCUAACCUUCAGUGUACACACGAAUCACCUGGGGAUCUUACUAAAAGCUAGUUUCUGAUUCACUAAAUCUGUGUGUGGUGGAAGUUGAGGGCAGAGAAGCUCCCGAGGGUGUCAAGCUGACUCUGAACCCGACUUUGAGGGUUAAGGUCCCAAAUGGCAUCGCCAGCACCAGGGACAGACACUAAAAUUGUAGAAAUCGUCUCAAGAAAUGAACAGCCUCUAAGUCAGAUGUUGAAUGUGAAAGAAAUCAGGGUGUGUACGUGUGUGUGCAUUUGUGUGUGCACGUGUGUGCCUGUGUUUGUCUCUGUGCAUGUAUGUUUCUAUGUGUGCACAUGUGUGUAUGUGUCUGUACAUGUGUGUUUCUGUGUGUGUGCCUGUGUGUGUAUUGGCUUAGAUCUGUUCGAGACUUUUUAUUUGAUGAGAUCGAUAUAUGCCACCACUUUUGGAAAGGACAACGUAUAUACAAAGACAAUGAUUACUUAUGUAAUGUGAACGGAGUCUCUCUUCGACCCUCAAAUGUUUUGUAGAAAGUAAUGAUGAUGGUGAGGAUUAUAACAAUGCGUGUUUCCUGAAUAACAAAAAGGAGUUACAGUACACUUUUACCUAUUUUUCCAAAGCGCUAGGUCAAGUUUAGCUAAAGUCUGCUUGGAAUUAAUGAGGCUUGGAAAUGUAAAAUCUCAGAGCAGUAAACAUCUCUUUGUCCUAAUGUUCUUAUGUAGCCAUUAAAACUUAAAUAUUAAUACUAAAAUAACUACUGUAAAAUAAAGUAAAAAUGUACGAGAAUA